rnacentral:rRNA from 1 species
GAUGAACGCUGGCGGCGUGCCUAAUACAUGCAAGUCGAACGAGGACCCUUUGUAUUCGUACUGAGGACUCCUAGUGGCGAACGGGUGAGUAACGCGUUGGUGACCUGCCCCGAAGAGGGGGAUAACAGCUCGAAAGGGCUGCUAAUACCCCAUGUGGUCACGGAGAUUAGAUGCUUUGUGACUAAAGGGAGCAAUCCGCUUUGGGAGGGGCCUGCGGCCCAUCAGCUAGUUGGUAGGGUAAUGGCCUACCAAGGCUACGACGGGUAGGGGACCUGAGAGGGUGGCCCCCCACACUGGCACUGAAACACGGGCCAGACACCUACGGGUGGCAGCAGUGGGGAAUAUUGCCCAAUGGACGAAAGUCUGAGGCAGCAACGCCGCGUGCGCGAUGAAGGCCUUCGGGUUGUAAAGCGCUUUUCUGGGGGAAGAGGAAGGACGGUCACCCAGGAAUAAGUCUCGGCUAACUACGUG